GCCAGCGCCCCGGAGAGAGCGUGCACUUAAGCGCAAGUCAACACGUGUAAGAAUAGUCUUUGCGCCCCGUCUUGGAGGAGCGACACGUUGGAGAAACACAAGCCGCCCGUCAUCAGAAGGAUGGACCUUGGGAAAUACAGCAUGUCCACGUCUUUGCAAAGGAGAGAACUUGAGCUUCAUGUCGCAACGCGGAAGACACUCACAAACCGGGCGCUGCGCUAAUGAGGACAAAGGCAGCUGCAGAAGGUAGAUGGAGAGGAUGAAACGUGCUUCCUGCACAGGUGCGCUUGUGCCAUCGGAACUGCCGGAGGAGUAUUGUUUAAUAAUAGUAACAUCGUGAAGUGCUCUCUCUUCCAGGUGCCGAGUUUACACCUGUCUUCUAUUAUCUGAUUUAACAACACUUAUUCGACGUAAAUGUGAAUAAACCAAGAAACACCGCGGUGUGACAAAGAGAAAAGAACUUGACCUGCAAAGAUGGGAGGGACACACUCUCAUAGGCUCGUUGAAAAUCUUUAUCUUCGCAGACAAAAGAAAUCGAUUUAAUGUUACCGCUUUUUUUUCCCCGUUUCACAAAUGUUUCAAAAAUAUUUUUUCCAAUUAC